rnacentral:rRNA from 1 species
AGUGAACGCUGGCGGUAGGCCUAACACAUGCAAGUCGAACGGCAGCACAGUAAGAGCUUGCUCUUACGGGUGGCGAGUGGCGGACGGGUGAGGAAUACAUCGGAAUCUACUUUUUCGUGGGGGAUAACGUAGGGAAACUUACGCUAAUACCGCAUACGACCUACGGGUGAAAGCAGGGGAUCUUCGGACCUUGCGCGAUUGAAUGAGCCGAUGUCGGAUUAGCUAGUUGGCGGGGUAAAGGCCCACCAAGGCGACGAUCCGUAGCUGGUCUGAGAGGAUGAUCAGCCACACUGGCAGUGAGACACGGUCCAGACUCCUACGGGAGGACGCAGUGGGGAAUAUUGGACAAUGGGGGCAAGCCUGAUCCAGCCAUACCGCGUGGGUGAAGAAGGCCUUCGGGUUGUAAAGCCCUUUUGUUGGGAAAGAAAAGCAGCAGGUUAAUACCCCGCUGUUCUGACGGUACCCAAAGAAUAAGCACCGGCUAACUUCGUG